rnacentral:tRNA from 1 species
GGUAGCGUGGCAGAGCGGUCUAAGGCGCUGGUUUAAGGCACCAGUCUCCUCCGGGGCGUGGGUUCGAAUCCCGCCGCUGCCA